CAAAAUAUGUGUUAUCCAGAUUCUUCAAUUCUGCAUUUCUUCUACAAUUUUCUUCUGCAUUUUAAAGUAUUUGUAAACGUAGAGGAUAUUAGAAAUCUUUGCAUACCAUUUUCAAGAUGGUAAUGUAAGGGCCAGAAACAAAAAAUAAACUUCAAGAAUCAGCACUUGAAAAGGAAGCCAAAUGAUAUUCUAUGAAAAUAGGUUUAAAAACCUAAGGAAAAACACAACAAUUAAGUCCAGGAGUAUGUUAAAAAUAAUCAAACUGAGCUUACCUAAGGGUUGGAUCAACAUAAAGGAAUUUAUUAGUAAAAUGCACCAAAUGGUAAGAUUUCUAAGAUCAUAUUAAUAGAUGUUGGAAGAGCAGUUGAUAAAAUUCAACAUGAAUUCUGUAUAAAAAGAAUUUUUAGUAAAAGGAGACUUUUUAUCUCAUGGCACAUCAAGUUUAAAGUGAUGCACCAGAUCCUGCAGAAGAGCAGCACUUCCGUGAGAAUAAGGAAGACAACAACGGUCCAUGUUAUGCCACCAUUGCGAUUCUGAUAGCGCUGCUCUAAUGAGACAAAACAACAGCAUCACGCAAGAACACACAAGAAGAUCCAAGGCUGAGGCAGGCAACGAGGUGGAAUCUGGGACUGAAUUCAGGAAGAGGUGGCGUGGUAGAGAGGAAAGCCCUGACAUCAACCUGCCUGGGGGGCUUCUGUUGACAUCGAUAGAAUGCCCACUAGGGGAGACUCUGUUCCGCUCAUUAUGGUAA
rnacentral:lncRNA from 1 species